GACGAACGCUGGCGGCGUGCUUAACACAUGCAAGUCGAACGGAAAGGCCCCUUCGGGGGUGCUCGAGUGGCGAACGGGUGAGUAACACGUGGGUGAUCUGCCCUGCACUCUGGGAUAAGCCUGGGAAACUGGGUCUAAUACCGGAUAGGACCGCGCAUCGCAUGGUGUGUGGUGGAAAGCUUUUGCGGUGUGGGAUGGGCCCGCGGCCUAUCAGCUUGUUGGUGGGGUUAUGGCCUACCAAGGCGACGACGGGUAGCCGGCCUGAGAGGGUGUCCGGCCACACUGGGACUGAGAUACGGCCCAGACUCCUACGGGAGGCAGCAGUGGGGAAUAUUGCACAAUGGGCGGAAGCCUGAUGCAGCGACGCCGCGUGAGGGAUGACGGCCUUCGGGUUGUAAACCUCUUUCAGCCUCGACGAAGCGCAAGUGACGGUAGGGGCAGAAGAAGCACCGGCCAACUACGUGC
rnacentral:rRNA from 1 species